rnacentral:tRNA from 1 species
GGACGGGUCGCAUAGUGGUCUAGUGCGUUCGCCUGGAAAGCGAAUGUGGGUAACACCACCGAGAGUUCGAAUCUCUCCCCGUCCGCCA